GAUGAAGAACGCAGCGAAAUGCGAUAAGUAAUGUGAAUUGCAGAAUUCAGUGAAUCAUCGAAUCUUUGAACGCACAUUGCGCCCCUUGGUAUUCCGGGGGGCAUGCCUGUUCGAGCGUCAUUAUCACCCCUCAAGCUCAGCUUGGUGUUGGGGCUGGCCCGUCACAGGGCCGCCCUUAAAAGCAGUGGCGGUGCCAUCUGGCUCUACGCGUAGUAAUACUCCUCGCGACAGAGUCCCGGUGGUCUCCUGCCAGAACCCCCCAUCUUUUUAAUGAUUGACCUCGGAUCAGGUAGGGAUACCCGCUGAACUUAAGCAUAUCAAUAAGCGGAGGA
rnacentral:misc_RNA from 1 species